GAGUUUGAUCCUGGCUCAGAUUGAACGCUGGCGGCAGGCCUAACACAUGCAAGUCGAGCGGAAACGGCAGUAUUGAAGCUUCGGUGGAUUUACUGGACGUCGAGCGGCGGACGGGUGAGUAACGGCUGGGAACCUGCCCUGACGAGGGGGAUAACCGUUGGAAACGACGGCUAAUACCGCAUAAUGUCUUGAUUCGUUAGAGUCAGGACCAAAGGUGGCCUCUACAUGUAAGCUAUCGCGUUGGGAUGGGCCCAGUUAGGAUUAGCUAGUUGGUAAGGUAAUGGCUUACCAAGGCAACGAUCCUUAGCUGGUUUGAGAGGAUGAUCAGCCACACUGGGACUGAGACACGGCCCAGACUCCUACGGGAGGCAGCAGUGGGGAAUAUUGCACAAUGGGGGAGACCCUGAUGCAGCCAUGCCGCGUGUGUGAAGAAGGCCUUCGGGUUGUAAAGCACUUUCAGCAGUGAGGAAGGUCGUGUACUUAAUACGUGAACGGCUUGACGUUAGCUGCAGAAGAAGCACCGGCUAACUCCGUGCCAGCAGCCGCGGUAAUACGGAGGGUGCGAGCGUUAAUCGGAAUUACUGGGCGUAAAGCGCAUGCAGGCGGUUUGUUAAGUCAGAUGUGAAAGCCCGGGGCUCAACCUCGGAACCGCAUUUGAAACUGGCAGGCUAGAGUCUUGUAGAGGGGGGUAGAAUUUCAGGUGUAGCGGUGAAAUGCGUAGAGAUCUGAAGGAAUACCAGUGGCGAAGGCGGCCCCCUGGACAAAGACUGACGCUCAGAUGCGAAAGCGUGGGUAGCAAACAGGAUUAGAUACCCUGGUAGUCCACGCCGUAAACGCUGUCUACUUGGAGGUUGAGGUUUUAGACUUUGGCUUUCGGCGCUAACGCAUUAAGUAGACCGCCUGGGGAGUACGGCCGCAAGGUUAAAACUCAAAUGAAUUGACGGGGGCCCGCACAAGCGGUGGAGCAUGUGGUUUAAUUCGAUGCAACGCGAAGAACCUUACCUACUCUUGACAUCCAGCGAAGCCUUUAGAGAUAGAGGUGUGCCUUCGGGAGCGCUGAGACAGGUGCUGCUUGGCUGUCGUCAGCUCGUGUUGUGAAAUGUUGGGUUAAGUCCCGCAACGAGCGCAACCCUUAUCCUUGUUUGCCAGCACGUAAUGGUGGGAACUCCAGGGAGACUGCCGGUGAUAAACCGGAGGAAGGUGGGGACGACGUCAAGUCAUCAUGGCCCUUACGAGUAGGGCUACACACGUGCUACAAUGGCAGAUACAGAGGGCAGCGAACUUGCGAAAGUAAGCGAAUCCCAAAAAGUGCGUCGUAGUCCGGAUUGGAGUCUGCAACUCGACUCCAUGAAGUCGGAAUCGCUAGUAAUCGUGGAUCAGAAUGCCACGGUGAAUACGUUCCCGGGCCUUGUACACACCGCCCGUCACACCAUGGGAGUGGGCUGCAAAAGAAGCAGGUAGUUUAACCUUCGGGGGGACGCUUGCCACUUUGUGGUUCAUGACUGGGGUGAAGUCGUAACAAGGUAACCAAUCUCUAGAG
rnacentral:rRNA from 1 species